UACGGAGGGUGCAAGCGUUAUCCGGAUUCACUGGGUUUAAAGGGUGCGUAGGUGGGCAGGAAAGUCAGUGGUGAAAUCUCCGGGCUUAACCCGGAAACUGCCGUUGAUACUAUUUGUCUUGAAUAUUGUGGAGGUAAGCGGAAUAUGUCAUGUAGCGGUGAAAUGCUUAGAUAUGAGGAGGAACACCGGUGGCGAAGGCGGCUUUCUGGACAGUAACCGACGCUGAGGCACGAAAGCUAGGGGAGCAAACAGG
rnacentral:rRNA from 1 species